ACAAACAUACUCACACGUUUCAAACUUAACAAACAUUAACACUUAAACAUUACACUUCAUACUUUCAUACUUAAACAAUUAAACAUUUAACACUUAAACACACAAAAAAACUUAUACACUUGUACACUUCAACAAACACUUAUACGUAACAAAAACUUAACAAAACACUUCAAAAAUACUGCACAAAGACUUAACAAAUACUAACACUUAACAAACAGUAACACUUAAAUAUCACACUUCACACUUAAACACCUAAACACACAAACACUUUAACACUUAAAUAUCACACAUCACACUUAACACCUAAACACACAAACACUUUAACAGUACACACUUCAAACCACUUCACACUACACACUUCACACUUAAACAAACAUUUUAACACUUCACGCUUAAAUAAACACUUUAACUUUUAACACCUUAACACAAACACUACCAUUUACCAAACACUACAACUUAAACAUCACUUCACACAUAAGUACAUAACACCUUAACAGCUAAAUACACUUAAAAAAAACGUAACAAAUACUUCACAAACACUUAAUAAACUAACACCUAAGCAUCACACUUCACACUUUCACACUUAAACACUCAACACCCUAACACACAAAUACACUCACACACUUCACACUUAAGAAACACUAACACUUAAACAUCACAUUUCACACUGCACGCUUUCACACAUAAACACUUAAACACCUAAACACUUAACACCUUAACACCUAACUUCACAUGCUUCACACGCUUCACACACCUGACACUCCACACUUCACACUUAAGAAACACUAACACUUAAACAUCACACUUCACACUGCACAUUUUUACACGUAAACACCUAAACACUUAACACCUUAACACAUAAACACCUAACAUAACACUUCACACACUUCACAAACUUCACACUCUUCACACUUCACACACUUCACACUCUCCACAACACCUAAACACCUAACAUAACACUUCACACACUUCACACUCUUCACAACACCUAACUUCACACUUCACACUCUUCAUACUUCACACUUCACACACUUCACACUACACUUCACACACACGUCAAACGUCACACCUUUCGCACCUCACUUCACACACCUCACACUACACUUCACACACACGUCAAACGUCACACCUUUCGCACCUCACACCUCACACCUCACACCUCACACCUCACACCUCACACCUCACACCUCACACCUCACACUCUUCAUACUCUUCACUACGCCGAACUUCAUACUUCAUACUUCACACACUUCACACUUCACACACUUCACAGACUUAACACUCUUCACACACUUCACACACUUCACACACACUCCACACUUCACACACUUGAACACUUCACACAUUUCACACAGCCCACUUCACACAGCACACUUCACACUUCACACUUUUCACAUACUUCACAACAAGCGCUGAACAAAAUACUUACAAAACAAUUCAAAAACACUUCCCAAGGACUUAACAAACAAUAACACUUAAAUAAACACUUAAAAAGCACACUUCACUCUUUACACCAAAACACCCCAACACACAAAAACUUAACCACUUCACCCUUCAUACUACACACUUCACACUUAAAAACAAAUACUUAAGCAUUUCAUACUUAAAUAAAUACUUUAACAUUUAACAGCUGAACACAAACACACUAACACUUCACACUUAAACACUUAAUAGCUUAACACAAACACCUUAACACCUAAAUACACAAACACACAAACACUUCACAAGUAAAUAAACACUUCACAAACAAUUACACUUAAUUAACACUUACAAAACACUUCACCAACAGUUAACAAACACUAACACUUAAAAAUUACACUUCAUACUUAAAAAAAACACUUUAACACUUUAACACUUUAAGGCUUAAACACACACUUUAACACUUAACACUUAAGCACACACUUUAGCACUUCACACUUAACACAUAAACACACACUUUAACACUUAACACUUCAACACCUUAACACCUAAAUACCUAAACACCCAAACACCCCAACACUAUUUGAUUUUGGAUGUACUAUUCCUAGAGAACUUACAUUUAUAUUAUAAUAUAGAAAAGACACUUAUUCAAGUAUAUAAUUUCUAUGAAUAAAAUUAUAUUUCAAAAACAUGUUUAAAUGCAAAACGAAAUUUAAAAAAUUAAAAAUUACAAAAAACCUUUAUCCUACCCCGCACUCUAAUAUAUAGAAGUAAGAAACUCUAUUACUUCAAUAAGAAUUAGAAAGCACCCAUCAAGUUUUGGCUUCAUCUUCAUCUACUACCAAUAUAUUGUUGUGUAGUGCCAACUGUGCUUCUUCUAUCUGCAAACAAAAGAGUGAUUUAUGAGAAAAUAGAUAUCAACUGCAAAAUAAAGCUAGACCACUCAACUUGCAUCAUCAUAUGAAUUUAUAAAUACAUAUGCUCUUACCAACUCAAUAUGAUAAUUGACCUAGAACCUUGAUAAAUGGCAUGGACUCAAAAUCUCCUGCAAGCAUGAAAGUUGGUCGUAACAAACAGAAAAUUUUGAAAAUAAAUGUUACUGUCAUUUAUUAUAACUGUACCUAGAGUGUCAUCCAAUUCAAUGACACAUAUCUGCAGGUCCAGACAUGCCUUCCACUGGUAUCAUUGUUACGCGUCCAAUCCACUUUUGAAUAGCAUCUAUAACAUGAGGAACAAUCUAUAGGUAGCAACAUUACACAAAGGCUAUUGCAAGCCACGAUAGCUGAUGGGUUUAAUAGUUAUUAAAUAACUGGACAGUUUUUUCAGAUAGUCUCCCCUUCUUUUCUUAUCUAUAACAUGCCAAAAGGGAAAAAAAUUAUUAAAAAGAAAUCAGCUAGCUUAUUAUUCUUUUUGGUUUCUCCUAGCAGCAGACACAAAAAUAAUCAAAAGAGAUGUGCAAGUUAAUCUCACAUGGUAAAUUUUUCCAGUACUGAUAUUAUUGUCUCUUCUCAACUUGAUAUCCAGAAAAUUCAUGAUUUCUGAUGUCCAGGUUCACCUUUAAAACAACAAAAAAAAAGUCAUUUUCUUCCCAACCUUUUAAGUUGUGAUACUUUCUAAAUAAUAAUCAAUAGAAAUGAUAAAAGAAAUGAUAAUUGAAAAUUACUCGAUUUUUAGGAAUUAUAUAAAAAGGAAAUAAGAAACUCCCACAUCUACAAAAUAAAAUAAAAAAAGCAUGUAAAAGAUGUUGACUUAUUUGCUAAUCUUAGCUAAUUCUAGGGAUUUGAUUUGAUCUGAUUAGGAUUCUUAAUUAUGUCUGUAAUUAUUAUUUGAUUAAUUAUUUGCUUCCUAUUUAGAUAUGAUUCUUUGUGUAUAAAUAGUCAUGUAGACCAAUUGUAAAGAUUAAGAGUGAAAUACAAGAAUACUCAAAAUUUUUCCAAAAUUCUUCAUGGUAUCAUAGCCUUUUCCUGAUUUUUUGGGUCCAAAUUUAAUUUUUCUUCUUUAGGGUUUCAAAACCUUAGAUCUACCUUUUUUGGUACUAAUCUAUCUAGGAGCCUCUCAUUCUCUCACCGCCGACACCAGGAGAACCGCCGAACUGCCGCCGGACUGCCGCCGGCCGAUCAACCAGCUCCGAUGUCGGAAAAGCCUAUGCGUGAGGCUCACGCGCCACCCCUUCCCGGCGCGUGACCUGUCACUUCCUAGCGCAUGACCCAUUGUCUGUCACUGCAUCGCCGCUCCGAUCACUCCGGCGACGAUUCCGACCAUCUUUCCGGCCUUCUCGUGCUGUUACUCGGUCUUUUGGUGAAUCAAUUGGGCUUUCUUGUAUGUACAACCUUGGGUACCUCCUAUUCUUUCACGGUUCAUAAAUCUUUACUAUGGCAGAAGGUAAAAGGGUCUCGAUUCCUAAAACUCUGAUAAUCCUUCCUUGCAAAUUAGUCCCAUAAAACUUGAUGGAACCAAUUAUCUUGCUUGGUCAAAGUCUUGUUUGUUGUUCAUAAAUCUUUACUAUGGCAGAAGGUAAAAGGGUCUCGAUUCCUAACUCUGAUAAUCCUUCCUUGCAAAUUAGUCCCAUAAAACUUGAUGGAACCAAUUAUCUUGCUUGGUCAAAGUCUUGUUUGUUGUUUAUCAAGGCUAGAGGACUGCAGGAUUAUGUUACUGGUAAUAAAAAACAACCUGAUGAGAGGGAUCCAGAUUUUCCUCAAUGGGACUCGGAUAAUUGUCUUGUUAUGACAUGGUUACUGAACUCUAUGCAACCUCAUAUCUCUAAGUCCUAUUUGUUAAUUGAUACUGCUGCAAAAAUAUGGAAAGCUUUGUCCUUAACUUAUUCCAAGAUUGGGAAUGAUGCCCAAAUUUAUGAUAUUCGGAAUAAGAUUCAUGGUACUAAGCAAGGAGAAAUGACUAUCUCCCAAUUUUAUUCUGAGUUAUGUGGCUUAUAAUAGGAGCUUGAUUACUAUCAAGACUUCUAGGCAUACUGCACUGGAGAUACAGUCAAAUUUCGGAGAAUGAUUGAAAAGAAGCGGGUCUAUGAUUUUCUUGCAGGGUUGAAUAACGAAUAUGAUCCAAUUCGGGUCCAAGUGUUGGGAAGAAAUCCUUUUCCUUCUCUAGAAGAGGCCCACGCCCAUGUUCAACAAGAGGAAAGUCGUCGACAUGUUAUAUACUGCACCAGUUGAAAAGGCUGGGUUGACUACUAGUUUGAGCACACCACAACCUCCUACUAUUGAGAAAGAUCACUUACACUAUGACUAUUGUGGAAAACCGAGGCAUACCAAAGAGACUUGUUGGAAGUUACAUGGUCGUCCCACUAGAGGUCGUGGAGGAAAAUGAGGUACCUCUAGAAAUCAAGCUACUUUAGCAGAAACUGUGGAGGAGCCCUUUAAGGAGACAACAACGACUGAGUUUCUUUCCCCUAAUGAACUUCAAAGUCUCAAGCGCUUCUUGUCUCAUAUUGACACCUCUUCAUCCUCUGAUGCCACAUCUAACUUUGUAAAGUCAGGUAAUGCUUCCUCUUUUAAUAAUGUUCCAUAGAUUAUCGAUUCUGGUGCGAAUAGACAUAUGACAGGCUCUUCUAAAGGCUUUCUCAAUUAUUCUCCUUCUCUAACCAAAGACAGUGUUAGAAUUGUUGAUGGCUCUUUUACUCCCAUAUCCGGAACAGGUUCUGUUAUUUGCACAUCCAACAUUAAAUUAUCAUUUGUCCUUCAUGUUCCCCACUUUCCUGUCAACCUUUUAUCUGUCAGUGUUAUCACCAAUGCUCUUAACUAUAAAAUUGAAUUCUUUCCUGAUCAUUGUGUUAUUCAGGAUCUUCGCACAGGGAAGAGGAUUGGCAAUGGUAGGCUGCAUGAUGGCUUAUACAUGUUGGAGGGUGAUCCGGGUUCUUCGAUAUCUCAAGCCUGUUUUGGAGAAAAUAAGGAUGUCAAUCGGGAAAUAAUACAGUGGCACCGGCGGUUAGGGCAUCCAUCAUUUUUUAUCUUAGAAAAACUUUAUCCUGAUCUGUUUGCUAAAACCCAGUUUGGCUCUUUAUUUUGUGAUGCUUGUGAGUAUGCUAAACACACUAGAACAUCCUAUCCUUUGAGUCAUAAUAAAAGUCAAAUUUCUUUUGACAACUAUUCAUUCUGAUGUUUGGGAGCCUACUCAAACUGUCUCCUUAUCCGGUAAUCGAUGGUUUGUCACCUUUAUUGAUUGUUGUACUCGAAUGACUUGGGUCUAUCUGAUUAAAGCUAAAAGUGAUGUCUUUUCUUGUUUUCAAUAUUUUCAUAAGAUGGUUUGUACUCAAUUUGAUACUAAAGUGAAAAUUUUGAGAACUGAUAAUGGAAGAGAAUACAUGGAUAGUACCUUUUCUGCUUAUUUGGAGUAAUGGGAUAGUACACCAGACUAGUUGUCCUUAUACUAGUGCUCAAAAUGGCGUUGCUGAGAGAAAAAAUAGGCAUCUAUUGGAGGUAGCUCGAUCUCUUAUGUUCACCAUGAAUCUAUCCAAAGCAUAUUGGGGAGAUGCAAUCCUUAUAUCUGCUUACCUUAUAAAUAGAAUGCCUCUCAAGACCCUUGACUUUAUGAGUCCUUUAGCGGUUCUACAAGAGAAGAAUUCAUAUUGUUGAAUCCCACAUCGGUUGUGGAAAGGGGUAAUGUGCCCCUUAUAUGGGCCAUAGGCACUCCUCCCCCUUGAGCUAGCUUUUGGGGUGAGUUAGGCCUGGCCCAAAUUUAACAUGAUAUCAGAGCCUCCCCAUCCGAUGUUGGGCACCCCAUAAAUGUGCCACGCACCGGUAAAAAUUCUGGACGUGAGGGGGUGUGUUGAAUCCCACAUCGGUUGUGGAAAGGGGUAAUGUGCCCCUUAUAUGGGCCAUAGGCACUCCUCCCCCUUGAGCUAGCUUUUGGGGUGAGUUAGGUCUGGCCCAAAUUUAACACAUAUGUUGUUCCACCAAAAGUAUUUGGGUGUGUUUAUUUUGUCCAUACUAGGACGGUAGGGAAAUUGGAUCCCAAGGCCCUCAAAUGUGUGUUUGUUGGGUAUUCUCCGACACAGAAGGGAUAUAGGUGUUAUCACCCUCCCUCUAGAAAAUACUUAGUCAGUAUGGAUGUUACCUUUCGAGAAACUGAACCCUACUUCAAUACCACCCACUCACCUCUUCAGGAGGAGAAUAAUGAGCAAGAAGAGGUGAUCCCGAAUUGUGUGAUUCUGGAUAAUAUGGUUCAACUAGAGAGUUUGAGUUCUAAUCGACGGGGGAGAUGUCCAAUCAGGGAGAAAGAAUUGGUCGUUUGGACAAACCAGAUUUGAGAAGGUAUUCAAGGAGAGACAAGGCAGAAGAAGCCAUUAUGCAGUCUACUCAGAGUUAAGAAUCUUCUUCUGGUGAGUUACCCACAACUCUUGAAUGCUUCAAUGAUUUAGAUAAACCGAUUGCACAAAGAAAACGAGUUAGAUCUCGUACUAAACAUCCUCUUUCUAACUUUGUUUCUUAUGAAUCCUUGUCUCCUUCCUAUAGAGCCUUUGCCUUGCCUAUUUCCUCUGUAUCUAUUUCACAGGAUUGGAAGAAAGCUCUUGCAGAACCUAAAUGGAAGGACGCAAUGAUUGAAGAGAGGAAAGCAUUGGCUAAAAAUGAAACCUAGGAGCUUGUCACUCUUCUACCUGGAAAGAAACUCGUUGGCUGUAAGUGGGUGUUCACAGUGAAAUACAAAGCUGAUGGUACAAUCGAAUGAUUUAAGGCCAGAUUGGUUGCUAAAGAUUUCACCCAAACCUAUGGAGUGGAUUAUCAAGAGACAUUUACCCCAGUUGCAAAAAUAAAUUCAAUCAGAAUUCUAUUAUCUUGCGCGGCCAACUUGGACUGGGACUUACAACAGUUUGAUGUGAAGAAUGCUUUCCUCCAUGGAGAUUUAGAGGAAGAAGUAUUCAUGGAAAUUCCUCUUGGGUUCGCUGAUGAGAAGACACAAGGAAAGGUGUGCAAGUUAAAAAAAGCUUUGUAUGGGCUAAAACAAUCUCCCAGAGCUUGGUUUGACAGGUUUAGUGGAGCCAUGAUGUCUUUUGGUUACCAACAAAGCAAUGUUGAUCACACUUUGUUUAUCAAACAUCAUAAGGGUAAGAUCACCCUUCUUAAUGUGUAUGUUGAUGAUAUAGUGUUGACAGGUGAUGACAAAGAGGAAAUGGCUCAACUAAAGAGGUUGUUGGCUCAGGAAUUUGAAAUCAAAGAUCUGGGAAAACUGCAAUAUUUUCUAGGUAUUGAGAUGGCUAGAUCAGAAAAAGGAAUUUUCAUCUCCCAAAGAAAGUACAUUAUGGAUCCUUUGGAAGAAACUGGUAUGAUGGGGUGUAAACCAGCAGAAUCUCCAAUUGAAAGUAAUCACAAGCUGAAAGCAAGAACUGGCGAGUCCGUGGAUAUUGGAAGAUAUCAGAGAUUGGUAGGAAGGUUGAUUUAUCUCUCACAUACUCGACCGGAUAUAGCCUAUGUUGUUAGCUUAGUCAGCCAAUUCAUGCAUGACCCUCGCGAGACUCAUAUGCAAGCUGUACUUCGCAUCUUGAGAUACCUAAAGUCUACGCCAGGGAAAGUGUUUUUUUACUCCAAACAUGGUCACCUCCGAAUUGAAACUUUUACAGAUGCAGAUUGGGCAGGAUCUCUCGAUGACAGGAGAUCCACAUCUGCCUACUGCACAACUAGUGGAGGGAACCUUGUCACUUGGAGGAGUAAAAAACAAAGUGUUGUUGCUCGGUCAAGUGCGGAAGCAGAAUACAAAGCAAUGUCCCAAGGAGUGUGUAAACUCUUAUGGUUGCAGAAGUUAUUGGAAGAGUUGAGAUUGUCCGAGAGAGACAAGAUAACCUUGUAUUGUGACAAUAGAGCUGCUAUAAGUAUAGCACAAAAUCCAGUCCAACAUGACCGAACAAAAUACAUUGAAAUUGAUCGGCACUUCAUUAAAGAAAAAUUAACGGACGGUGUCUUGAGCCUAGUUCAUGUGACUUCUACUGAGCAACUUGCGGAUGUGUUUACUAAAUGGCUUAACAACAAGAUCUACCAUAAUCUGAUUUGCAAGUUGGGCAUGUGUGACAUCUUUGCACCAAUUUGAGGGGGAGUGUUGACUUUUUAGCUAAUCUUAGCUGAUUCUAGGAAUUUGAUUGGAUCUGAUUAGGAUCCUUAAUUAUCUCUGUAAUUAUUAUUUGAUUAAUUAUUUGAUUCUUGUUUAAAUAUGAUUCUUUGUGUAUAAAUAGUCAUCUAGACCAAUUAUAAAGAUUAAGAGUGAAAUUGACAAGAAUACUCAAAAUUUUCUCAAAAUUCUUCAAAAGAAAAUGAAUUUGAAACAGGAAAAAGUUAAUUAUGAUCAUAAAUUGCAAAAUUUACCUUUUGUAUAUGGAUUUCUCCAUAAUAUCAACAAAAAACAAUUUUUUUUCCAUUUACUUAAAAGAGAAGGAAUGAAAGAAGAGGAAGAGACCUAUCUGAUGAAAAUAACACGAAUACUAAAAAUCAACUACUAACCACUAACCACAAACUCUUAACCCUAACCCUAACCUUAACCCUAUACUAACCCUAACACUUCACAAAUACUUAACAAACACUUCACAAACACAUAACAAACACUUCACAAACACUUAACAAAAACUUCAAAAACACUUAACAAACAAUAAACACUUGAACAUCAUACGUAAACUUCACACAUAAGUGUUUAUACAAAUACUUAAAAAACAGUUAACAAAUACUUUAACAAACACUUCACAAACACUUAACAAACACUAACAUUUAAGCAUCACACUUCACACUUAAAUACUAAACACCUUAACACACAAACAUACUCACACGCUUCAAACUUAACAAACAUUAACACUUAAACAUUACACUUCAUACUUUCACACUUAAAAAAUUAAACAUUUAACACUUAAACACACAAAUAAACUUACACACUCGUACACUUCAACAAACACUUAUACGUAACAAAAACUUAACAAAACACUUCAAAAAUACUGCACAAGGAUUUAACAAAUACUAACACUUGACAAACAGUAAUACUUAAAUAUCACACUUCACACUUAACACCUAAACACACAAACACUUUAACAGUACACACUUCACACCAUUUCACACUACACACUUCACACUUAAACAAAUAUUUUAACACUUUACGCUUCAAUAAACACUUUAACUUUUAACACCUUAACACUUCACACUUCACACUUCACAAACACUACCAUUCACCAAACACUACAACUUAAACAUCACACUUCACACAUAAGUAUUAACACCUUAACAGCUAAAUACACUUAAAAAAAACGUAACAAAUACUUCACAAACACUUAACAAACUAAUACCUAAGCAUCACACUUCACACCUUCACACUUAAACACCCCAACACACAAACACACUCACACACUUCACACUUAAGAAACACUAACACUUAAACAUCACACUUCACACUGCACGCUUUCACACAUAAACACUUAAACACCUAAACACUUAACACCUUAAGACCUAACUUUACAUACUUCACACGCUUCACACACUUCACACUUAAGAAACAAUAACACUUAAACAUCACACUUCACACUGCACAUUUUCACACGUAAACACCUAAACACCUAACUUAACACUUCACACACUUCACACUUCACACACUUCACAAACUUCACACUCUUCACAUUUCACACACUUCACACUCUUCACAACACCUAACUUCACACUUCACACACUUCACACUUCACACUUCACACUACACUUCACAUACAAUACACACACACUUUAAACUUCACACUCCACACUCUUCGCACUUCGCACUUCGCACUUCGCACUUCGCACUUCGCACUUCGCACUUCGCACUUCGCACUUCGCACUUCGCACUUCGCACUUCGCACUUCGCACUUCGCACUUCGCACUUCGCACUUCACACACUUCACGCUCUUCAUACUCUUCACAACACCUAACUUCAUAUUUCACACACUUCACACACUUUACACACUUUACACUUCACACACAAUUCACACACACUUCACACUUCACACUUCACACUCUUUGCACUUCACAUUUCACACUUCACACUCAUCACACUUGACACUCAUCACACUUGACACUUGACACUUCACACAUUUCACACUUCACACGUCACGCACUUGAACACUUUACACCCAUCACAAUUCACACUUCACACACUUCACACUUCCCCAAUUCCCGCACUUUGCACUUUGUCACACUUUGUCACAAUUCAAAUUUGUCAAACAUUUACACUUCACACAGCACACUUCACAUUUCACACUUUUCACACACUUCACAACAAGUGCUGAACAAAAUACUUACAAAACACUUCAAAAACACAUCUCAAGGACUUAACAAACAAUAACACUUAAAUAAACACUUAAAAAUCACACUUCACUAUUUACACCAAAACACCCAAACACAAACACUUAACCACUUCAAACCACUUCACCCUUCACACUACACACUUCAUACUUUAAAACAAAUACUUAAGCAUUUCAUACUGAAAUAAUUACUUUAACAUUCCACACAUGAACACAAACACACAAACACUUCACACUUGAACACUUAAUAGCUUAAAACAAACACCUUUAACACCUAAACACACAAACACACAAACACUUCACAAGUAAAUAAACACUUCACAAACAAUUACACUUAACUAACACAUAUAAAACACUUCACUAACAGUUAACAAACACUAACACUUAAAAAUUACACUUCACACUUAAAAAAAACACUUUAACACUUUAACGCUUAAACACACACUUUAACACUUAACACUUAAGCACACACUUUAGCACUUCACACUCAACACUUAACCACACACUUUAACACUUUAACGCUUAAACACACACUUUAACACUUAACACUUAAACACACACUUUAGCACUUCACACUCAACACAUAAACACACACUUAAACACUUAACACUUCAACACCUUAACACCUAAAUACCCAAACACCCAAAUACCCCAACACUAAUUGAUUUUAUAUGUACUAUUCCUAGAGAACUUACAUUUACAUUAUAAUAUAGGAAAGAGACUGAUUCAAGUAUAUAAUUUCUAUGAAUAAAAUUAUAUUUCAAAAACAUGUUUAAAUGCAAAACGAAAUUUAAAAAAUUAAAAAUUACAAAAAACCUUUAUCCUACCCCGCACUCUAAUAUAUAGAAGUAAGAAACUCUAUUACUUCAAUAAGAAUUAGAAAGCACCCGUCAAGUUUUGGCUUCAACUUCAUCUACUACCAAUAUAUUGUUGUGUAGUGCCAACUGUGCUUCUUCUAUCUGCAAACAAAAGAGUGAUUUAUGAGAAAAUAGAUAUCAACUGCAAAAUAAAGCUAGACCACUCAACUUGCAUCAUCAUAUGAAUUUAUAAAUACAUAUGCUUUUACCAACUCAAUAUGAUAAUUGACCUAGAACCUUGAUAAAUGGCAUGGACUCAAAAUCUCCUGCAAGCAUGAAAGUUGGUCGUAACAAACAGAAAAUUUUGAAAAUAAAUGUUACUGUCAUUUAUUAUAACUGUACCUAGAGUGUCAUCCAAUUCAAUGACACAUAUCUGCAGGUCCAGGCAUGCCUUCCACUGGUAUCAUUGUUACGCGUCCAAUCCACUUUUGAAUAGCAUCUAUAACGUGAGGAACAAUCUAUAGGUAGCAACAUUACACAAAGGCUAUUGCAAGCCACAAUAGCUGAUGGGUUCAAUAGUUAUUAAAUACCUGGACAGUUUUUUCAGAUAGUCUCCCCUUCUUUUCUUAUCUAUAACAUGCCAAAAGGAAAAAAAAUUAUUAAAAAGAAAUCAGCUAGCUGAUUAUUAUUUUUGAUUUCUCCUAGCAGCAGACACAAAAAUAAUCAAAAAAGAUGUGUAAGUUAAUCUCACCUAGUACAUUUUUUCAGUACUGAUAUUAUUGUCUCUUCUCAACUUGAUAUCCAAAAAAUUCAUAAUUUCUGAUGUCCAGGUUCACCUUUCAAACAACAAAAAAAAGUCAUUUUCUUCCUAACCUUUUAAGCAGUGAUACUUUCUAAACAAUAAUUAAUAGAGAUAAUAAAAGAAAUGAUAAUUAAAAAUUACUCGCCUUUUAGGAAAUAAGAAACUCCCACAUGUACAAAAUAAAAUCAAAAAAGCAUGUAAAAGAAAAUGAAUUCCAAACAGGAAAAAGUUAAUUAUGAUCAUAAAUUAGAAAAUUCACUUUUUGUAUAUGGAUUUCUCGAUAAUAUCAACAAAAAAAGACAAUUUUUUUUUCCUUUUACUUAAGAGUGGAGGAAGGAAGGAAUAGGAAGAGACCUAUUUAAUGAAAAUAACACGAAUACUAAAAAUCAACUACUAACUACUAACCACAAACUUACACACUUGUACACUUCAACAAACACUUGUACGUAACAAAAACUUAACAAAACGCUUCAAAAAUACUGCACAAAGACUUAACAAAUACUAACACUUAACAAACAAUAAAACUUAAAUAUCACAUUUCACACUUAACACCUAAACACACAAACACUUUAACAGUACACACUUCAAACCACUUCACACUACACAUUUCACACUUAAACAAACAUUUUAACACUUCACGCUUAAAUAAACACUAACUUUUAACACCUUAACACAAACACUUCACAUUUCACAAACACUACCAUUUACCAAACACUACAACUUAAACAUUACACUUCACACAUAAGUACUUCACACCCUUAGAGCUUAAUACAGUUAAAAAAAACGUAACAAAUACUUUACAAACACUUAACAAACUAACACCUAAGCAUCACACUUCACACCUUUACACUUUCACACUUAAACACAUAACAACUUAACACACAAAUACACUCACACACUUCACACUUAAGAAACACUAACACUUAAAUAUCAUACUUAACACUGCACGCUUUCACAAAUAAAUACUUAAACACCCAAACACUUAACACCUAACUUCACAUACUUCACACGCCUCACUAUUCACACUUAACAAACAAUAACACUUAAACAUCAUACUUUACACUGCACAUUUUCACACGUAAAUACCUAAACACUUAACACCUUAAUACCUAAACACCUAACUUAACACUUCACACACUUCACAAACUUCACACUCUUCACACUUCACACACUUCACACUCUUCACAACUCCUAACUUCACACUCUUCACACUUCACACAUCACACUUCACACUCUUCGCACUCCGCACUCUUCGCACUCCGCACACUCCGCACUCCGCACUCCGCUCCGCACUCCGCACGCCGCACGCCUUUCUCUCUCCAAAGCACUCUUCACAACACCUAACUUCAUACUUCACACACUUUACACUCUUCACACUCCGCACUCCGCACUCCGCACUCCGCACUCCGCACUCUUCACACUCUUCACAACACCUAACUUCAUACUUCACACACUUUACACUCUUCACACUUCACACUUCACACACAUCACACACACUUCACACUUCACACUUCUCACUCUUUACACUUCACAUUUCACACUUUACACUCGUCACACUUCACAAUUCACAAUUGGCACUUCACACACUCGAACACUUCAUACUCGUCACACUUCACACUUCACACUAUUCACACUUCCCGCACUUUGCACAUUGUCACACUUUGUCACACUUCACAUUUGUCACACACUUCACACUUCACACAUUUCACACACUUCACACUUUACACUUCACACAACACACUUCACACUUUUCACACACUUCACAAUAAGCGCAAAACAAAAUACUUACAAAACACUUCUCAAAGACCUAACAAACAAUAACACUUAAAUAAACACUUAAAAAUCACACUUCACGCUUUACACCAAACCACCCAAACACACAAACACUUAACCACUUCAAACCACUUCACCCUUCAUACUACACACUUCACACUUUAAAACAAAUACUUAAGCAUUUCAUACUUAAAUAAAUACACUAACAUUUAACACCUAAACACAAACACACAAACACUUCACACUUAAACACUUAAUAGCUCACCACAAACACCUAAACACACAAACAAUUACACUUAACAAACAAUUACAAAACACUUCACCAACAGUUAACAAACACUAACACUUAAAAAUUACACAUCACACUUAAAAAAAACACUUUAACACUUUAACACUUAAACACACACUUUAACACUUAACACCUAAGCACACACUUUAGCACUUCACACUCAACACAUAAACACACACUUUAACACUUAACGCUUCAAUACCUAAACACCUAAAUACCUAAACACCCAAACACCUCAACACUAAUUGAUUUUAGAUGUACUAUUCCUAGAGAACUUAUAUUUAUAUUAUAAUAUAGGAAAGAGACUUAUUCAAGUAUAUAAUUUCUAUGAAUAAAAUUAUAUUUCAAAAACAUGUUUAAAUGCAAAACGAAAUUUAAAAAUUUAAAAAUUACAAAAAAUCAUUAUCCUGCCACGCACUCUAAUAUAUAGAAAUAAGAAGCUCUUUUACUUCAAUAAAAAUUAGAAAGCACCCGUCAAGUUUUGGCUUCCUCUUCAUCUACUACCAAUAUAUUGUUGUGUAGUGCCAACUGUGCUUCUUCUAUCUGCAAACAAAAGAGUGAUUUAUGAGAAAACAGAGAUCAACUGCAAAAUAAAGCUAGAGCACUCAAUUUGCAUCAUCAUAUGAAUUUAUAAAUCCAUAUGCUCUUACCAACUCAAUAUGAUAAUUAACCUAGAACCUUGAUAAAUGGCAUGGAUUCAAAAUCUCCUGCAAGCAUAAAAGCUGAUCGUAACAAACAGAAAAUUUUGAAAAUAAAUGUUACUGUCAUUUAUUGUAACUGUACCUAGAGUGUCAUCCAAUUCAAUGACACAUAUCUGUAGGUCCAGACAUGCCUUCCACUGGUAUCAUUGUUACGCGUCCAAUCCACUUUUGAAUAGCAUCUAUAACAUGAGGAACAAUCUAUAGGUAGCAACAUUACACAAAGGCUAUUGCAAGCCACAAUAGCUUAUGGGUACAACAGUUAUUAAAUAUCUGGAGAGUUUUUGUCAGAUAGUCUCCCCUUCUUUUCUUAUCUAUAACAUGCCAAACGGGAAAAAAAUUAUUAAAAAGAAAUCAGCUAGCUGAUUAUUCUUUUUGGUUUCUCCUAGUAGGAGACACAAAAAUAAUCAAAAGAGAUGUGCAAGUUAAUCUCACCUGGUAAAUUUUUCCAGUACUGAUAUUAUUGUCUCUUCUCAACUUGAUAUCCAGAAAAUUCAUAAUUUCUGAUGUCCAGGUUCACCUUUCAAACAACAGGAAAAAGUUAAUUAUGAUCAUAAAUUGGAAAAUUCACCUUUUGUAUAUAGAUUUCUCCGUAAUAUCAACAAAAAAAAAAAUUUUUUUUACUUUUACUUAAAAGAGGAGGAAGAAAGGAAGAGGAAGAGACCUAUUUGAUUAAAAUAACACGAAUACUAAAAAUCAACUACUAACUACUAACCACAAACUCUUAACCCUAACCAUAACCUUAACCAUAUACUAACCCUAACACUUCACAAACACUUAACAAACACUUCAAAAACACUAAACAAACAAUAAACACUUGAACAUUAUACGUAAACUUCAUACUUAAGUGUUUGUACAAAUACUUAAAAAACAAUUAACAAAUACUUUAACAAACACUUCACAAACACUUAACAAACACUAACAUUUAAGCAUCACACUUCACACUUAAACACUAAACACCUUAACACCUUAACACACAAACAUACUCACACGCUUCAAACUUAACAAACAUUAACACUUAAACAUUACACUUUAUACUUUCACACUUAAACAAUUAAACAUUUAACACUUAAACACAAAAAAAAAAAGUUACACACUUGUACACUUCAACAAACACUUAUACCUAACAAAAACUUAACAAAACACUUCAAAAAUACUGCACAAGGACUUAACAAAUACUAACACUUAACAAACAGUAACACUUAAAUAUCACACUUCACCCUUAACACCUAAACACACAAACACUUUAACAGUACACACUUCAAACCACUUCACACUUAAAUAAACAUUUUAACACUUCACACUUAAAUAAACACUUUAACUUUUAACACCUUAACACAAACACUUCACACUUCACAAACAGUACCAUAUACCAAACACUACAACUUAAACAUCACACUUCACACAUAAGUGCUUAACACCUUAAGAGCUUAAUACACUUAAAAAAAACGUAACAAAUACUUCACAAACACUUAACAAACAAACACCUAAGCAUCAAACUUCACACUUCACACCUUCACACUUAAACACUUAACACCCUAACACACAAAUACACUCACACACUUCACACUUAAAAAACACUAACACUUAAACAUCACACUUCACACUACACGCUUUCACACAUAAACACUUAAACACCUAAACAAUUAACACCUUAACACCUAACUUCACAUACUUCACACGCAUCACACACUUCACAUUUCACACUUAAGAAACAAUAACACUUAAACAUCACACUUCACACUGCACAUUUUCACACGUAAACACCUAAACACUUAACACCUUAACACCUAAACACCAAACUUAACACUUCACACACUUCAUAAACUUCACACUCUUCACACUCUUCACACUUCACACACUUCACACUCUUCACAACACCUAACUUCACACUUCACACACUUCACACUUCAUACUACACUUCACACACAAUUCACACACUCUUCGCACUUCACACACUCUUCGCACUUCACACUCGUCACACUUCACACUUCACACUUCACACUUCACACUCGUCACACUUCACACUCGUCACACUUCACAUUUCACACUCGUCACACUUCACACUUCACACUUCACACUCGUCACACUUCACACUCUUCACACAUCACACUUCAUACUUCACACAACACACACUUCACACUUCACACUCUUCAUACUCUUCACAACACCUAACUUCAUACUUCACACACUUCACACUCUUCACACACUUCACACAUCACACACUUCACACAACACUUCACACACAAUUCACACACACUUCACAUUUCUUACUUCUCACUCUUUGUACUUCACAUUUCACACUUCACACUCGUCACACUUCACAC
rnacentral:lncRNA from 1 species